rnacentral:tRNA from 1 species
GGGCCCGUAGUCUAGCCUGGACAGGACGGGUGGCUUCGGACCACCAGACCCCGGUUCGAAUCCGGGCGGGCCCG